GAUGGACGCUGGCGGCGUGCCUAAUACAUGCAAGUCGAGCGAACAGACGAGGAGCUUGCUCCUCUGACGUUAGCGGCGGACGGGUGAGUAACACGUGGAUAACCUACCUAUAAGACUGGGAUAACUUCGGGAAACCGGAGCUAAUACCGGAUAAUAUAUUGAACCGCAUGGUUCAAUAGUGAAAGACGGUUUUGCUGUCACUUAUAGAUGGAUCCGCGCCGCAUUAGCUAGUUGGUAAGGUAACGGCUUACCAAGGCAACGAUGCGUAGCCGACCUGAGAGGGUGAUCGGCCACACUGGAACUGAGACACGGUCCAGACUCCUACGGGAGGCAGCAGUAGGGAAUCUUCCGCAAUGGGCGAAAGCCUGACGGAGCAACGCCGCGUGAGUAAUGAAGGUCUUCGGAUCGUAAAACUCUGUUAUUAGGGAAGAACAAAUGUGUAAGUAACUAUGCACGUCUUGACGGUACCUAAUCAGAAAGCCACGGCUAACUACGUG
rnacentral:rRNA from 1 species